UACAGAGGGUGCAAGCGUUAAUCGGAAUUACUGGGCGUAAAGCGUGCGUAGACGGUUAUGUAAGUCGGGUGUGAAAGCCCCGGGCUCAACCUGGGAAUGCCAUUCGAGACUGCAUAGCUAGGGUGCGGAAGAGGGAAGCGGAAUUUCCGGUGUAGCGGUGAAAUGCGUAGAUAUCGGAAGGAACACCAGUGGCGAAAGCGGCUUCCUGGUCCAGCACCGACGUUCAGGCACGAAAGCGUGGGGAGCAAACA
rnacentral:rRNA from 1 species